GAGUUUGAUCGUGGCUCAGGAUGAACGCUGGCGGCGUGCCUAAUACAUGCAAGUAGAACGCUGAAGCUUGGUGCUUGCACCGAGCGGAUGAGUUGCGAACGGGUGAGUAACGCGUAGGUAACCUGCCUGGUAGCGGGGAGUAACUAUUGGAACGAAUAGCUAAUACCGCAUAACAGUAGAUAUUGCAUGAUAUCUGCUUG
rnacentral:rRNA from 1 species